UGUGAGAGAGGCUAAGGGAAGCCGCAUGAAGUAGGGCUUCACGAAUCACAAACGCUUCACCAUGCACGGAGAUGAGACAUGAUCUUAGGCGGAGGAGGCGCGAGUGAGCUCUGUAUUUGCUUGAUCACUGAAGAUCCAGGCCAGACCAGCCGAUCUGGAUUCCGACUUCCAAGCAGCAUCAGAAUUACAGAAGACGGUCUCUGGUAAAAUAGAUACGGUCCGAUUCGAUGAGGUCAGUUUAGGGGCAGCAGGAGGGCGACAAGGUUGUGCUGAUUUCCAUUCCUUCAUUGCACUGAUGGUUUGUGCAAAAAGUUCAUGGGGCGUGAUCGUUCUAGAUUCAAAGAUGUCCUUGUUGCGCGAGACCCAAAGAUACCAGCAGAUCCAGGGAAAAGCAUUGCCCAUGAUACCAUAGGGAGGUAGAGCUUUCCAGAGAUAGGAUGCUUGAAGGGAACUUGCAAAGGUGGUGUCUUGGAUUACAAUAAACAUUGGGGACCAAGGUCCUAAAUCCCACACCUCUUUCGCAUAGUUGCAGUGAAAGAGGCGAUGAUCCAUCGUUUCAGCAGCCCCGCAGCGAGCACAGAGCGUUUGGAAAAUCACUCCUCUCUUAUGUAGAUUGUCACUUGUUGUAAUGGCAUUGUGAAAAACCUUCCAUAAAAAGUAUUUCAAUUUUGGUAGUAGGAGAGGGUUCUACAUAUUCUUUUUUCCAGUUCCAAUCUUCCAAGACCAGGCGCGAGGAUUGAAACAGAUGUGUGGAGGUCAGCACAUAGUACCCUGAUUUCGCAGUGUAGGAACCUGAGCUGUGAAGGGGCCAGACAUAAACAUCUUGGGCAUUGAGGAGGCUCGGUCGAAGAGACAAAAUGUGUGAAGAGAGCUCUGGCAUAAGGAAAACUGGGCCGUGCUACUUGAGAUUAGUCUCCGGUUGGAUCCAGGAGUCGCGCCAGAGGCUAGUUGAUUCUCCGUUACCAAUGGCUUUCCCCAUGUGUUGGAUCAAUAGGUCGCGGCCAUGGAGGAUGCCUCUCCAACCAUGUGAGAUGCCAGAGUUGGCAGAGACCUUGUGGCAAUAUUUUCCGAUGAUAAUUCGGGAAAAGAGGCAGUUGGGGGCAGUUAGUAGUCUCCAGGCAAAUGAAGAAGAAUGAAAAUGAAAACUUAUUCUUCGUAAAUGGUAAAAAAUUUAAAGAAUAUUAAGGAACAUAGCGUUUCUCCUCAUUCCCUUGUUCACCAAACACAUCCUAUAAUAAAGUUAAAUAUAGAACAUUACUUUAUUCUA